UCCAAACUGAGAGGUUGCACACACCACAAAAGGGACCAUGAUAUCUUGCAUUUCCUUUGCCAUGGCUUGGCUGCAUAUCCAUGCCUUGUGUUUAAGAGCUGGCCUAAGAGUAGCCACUGGAAAGUACAAAAAAACGGCUACAUGGAAUCAGCAGGCCAAUGAAAUAGGCGAUAAAAUGCUCCAUCACUUCCUUGUUCUGCAUUUAGGAAUGAAGUCAGCAAGCUAACUAGCAAGGAAAUAAUGCAGAGGGCUAGCUUUGUUAAUCCUUUUGCAGCAAAAACAAUGAAGUAUCUUGCAACAAUCCAAUCAUUACUGUAUAUUGUUAAAGCUUUGGUAGAUCACAAUCCUCUUCAUCAGAUGCAUCAUGUUUCUAAGAAAGACAUCUCUCUCCUUCUAUGCCCCAGUAGACCAUGAAAUAUUUUCUGCGGGUUAGCAAUUUUUGUCAUCUUAUUUAUAAAGCAGUAAUGAACAUAA